rnacentral:rRNA from 1 species
UACGUAGGGUGCAAGCGUUGUCCGGAAUUAUUGGGCGUAAAGAGCUCGUAGGCGGUUUGUCGCGUCUGCUGUGAAAACUCGGGGCUUAACCCCGGGUCUGCAGUCGAUACGGGCAGGCUAGAGUGUGGUAGGGGAGAUCGGAAUUCCUGGUGUAGCGGUGAAAUGCGCAGAUAUCAGGAGGAACACCGGUGGCGAAGGCGGGUCUCUGGGCCGAUACUGACGCUGAGGAGCGAAAGCGUGGGGAGCGAACAGG